GUAAGUAAGGUUCUCUUAGCCAUUUGUUAAAUGUAAGAUAAUGGUUCUAUAUCCUUUCUGAGCAGUCGUUCGUAUUUUCCUUCACCUCAGUUUGACCAAGAUGACCAGGAGUCCUGGAAAAGGCAGAGAGAAGAAGAGGACCUGGUGAAAACUAGGAGAAUAUUUGGCCAGAUGCUUGCACAAUGGGCUCCACCAAUUAAUGGAGUAUUGUAGCCUAGGCUGACAUUCAAGAAUCAUUACGGCUGGAAAAGACCUUUAAGAUCAUCUAAUCCAACCAUGAACCCAUCACCACUGUGCUCAUAAACCACGUCCUGACCUGCCUGUUUCGCACCAUAACCUGCACCCACUGUUGAGAUUGGUGCUUGGCUCUGCUUUCCUGUGGACUUUAAUAAGGUAGGUUUACCUAACACUAACUUGGACCACAUCUACAAAUGAUGGUGAUAAAAAGCACUCCUGUAUUUGAGUUGAUACACAUCAGAGAACUCCACUACCAAACCAAAAACCACACUCAAACAUGUUCCUGGGAGAAAAGUAGGCUGAAGAUAUUGUCUCUUUAUUCCAGACAGGGCCUGUUCAUUGUGGCUGGUGAAGAUGAUUAUCUCAGAUUCAAAACCAUUAGGAAUAACCUUUCCAGCUGCUUGAAAGAUUGUUCUUAAAAAAUAGAGCAGUUAUUACCUAUACACAACUUAUAUUCUCAAAUACAGUAUUUCUCUGGGGAAGAUUAAUAUUCGCUUAUUUUCUAGUGCAAGAAGUAAUGUUAUUAGAACAAUGUGGUGACGAAGGAAUAGGUUUAGGUAUGAGUCAACUGUAUCCACAAAAUUAUCAUUUUUUGAAUAUAGAGAAUAUCGACAUUAUGCCAAAUAAAAACUGUGAG
ensembl:lncRNA